rnacentral:rRNA from 1 species
AACGAACGCUGGCGGCAUGCCUAACACAUGCAAGUCGAACGAGACCUUCGGGUCUAGUGGCGCACGGGUGCGUAACACGUGGGAAUCUGCCCUUUGCUUCGGAAUAACAGUUAGAAAUGACUGCUAAUACCGGAUGAUGUCGAAAGACCGAAGAUUUAUCGGCAAAGGAUGAGCCCGCGUAGGAUUAGGUAGUUGGUGGGGUAAAGGCCUACCAAGCCGACGAUCCUUAGCUGGUCUGAGAGGAUGAUCAGCCACACUGGGACUGAGACACGGCCCAGACUCCUACGGGAGGCAGCAGUGGGGAAUAUUGGACAAUGGGCGAAAGCCUGAUCCAGCAAUGCCGCGUGAGUGAUGAAGGCCUUAGGGUUGUAAAGCUCUUUUACCAGGGAUGAUAAUGACAGUACCUGGAGAAUAAGCUCCGGCUAACUCCGUG